rnacentral:ribozyme from 15 species
GUUCUCAAACACAAUCUGCGGCAGCAACUCAUCACUACCAAAUAUCCCGAAUUGAGAACCAGCGAGAUCAACGACAUACUCCAAUCCUCUGAUGUCGGAUAAUAUCACAACCGUGUGCUUUAAAUAAUCCGAUGGGGUAUGAUGAUUUCGAUUAUCGAGGGAUUUUCCAAAUACCUCAUCCCUCACAUCAAUAUCUAAG